GCCUAUUGCAUGUGCAAACUUUUCAGACAAAAUUGAUAAUUUUCCUCUAUGCAUGCUUUUGUAUUUUCUGUAAAUUUAUGCAUGUAGCCCAUAGAAAAUCUGCUUACUUAUAGAUGACUCAUCUAAUGAGAAGGCAGCAUAUGUAAUUAGAUCAUUUAUUUAGUUUAUUCUUUUGAGUUUCCCCUUGCUUCAGCACAGAUUAUUGGAUUCUGUGCUGUAGCCGCUGUUUUUAAAAUGUUAAAAUCAAGCUUUCAAUUUGUAUACUGGUAGACAAUGUGUAGUUUAUGGUUUGCAAUUUAUUAAAAUUUUUCUUUUUUUUUAGAUACUGCUAACCCUCAAAUUUUAUAAUUAUUUUUGAUAAUACAACUGAUUUAAGAGAAGGUACUGUUCCCCAGCUCCGAAAAGAAAAGAAAAGAAAAGAAAAGAGAGAGAGAGAGAGAGAGAGAGAGAGAGAGAGAGAGAGAGAGAGAAGGUACUGUUCCUUUAUAGGCCUUUAAGAGCUCAGACUGGAUUGCCUGGACCCCUUAGUGAGGGCAAUGCCACAUCAGAUUUAUUUAGAACACAACAUUAAUCAGUAAAAACAGAAUGAAAUGCCUCGGGAAAAGGCAGCCUCUUUCCUGCGUCUUUGACCAGCUAAGCUCUGCAACACGAAGUCAUUUUUCUUGUGGUUCUAGGGCGGCUCUUGCAUAGCACAGCAGGACAGAGCAUCCUUCACUUGGAAACUGACGCGCAGCUGUUCCCUGGGAGCAGCUGGGGCUUUUACCUUUUGCUGUGUCAGCUUGGGGCCUCCUCAGAUGGUAAAUUCCCCGAGGCAGCAGGCAGCCAGGAGAGCUUGGGAGAAAAACUGAAUGAAACUGACCUAGCGGAAAUAUUCUUCCAAAGAAUAUUCUUUCAAAUUUUUAUCCACGUUUUAAAAUUUAAUUUAAUGAUAUUUAAUUGUUAUUUAACCAGUGGCUUGUUAUCUCAUGACGCGAUGCGGUCUUCAUCCUUCAGCUUCCCUUCUGUUUCCAAAACGAAUUCUGAAAGUCUGUGGAAGCCUAAUCUGUCAGCACUCACUAAUCCCCAGGAUCAGCUCUCCGCAAAGAAGAGACCUUGAGUGAUCUUCAGAGAGAUUAGGCAAUGUGAGGAGUCAGACCCCAGAUACUCCCCAUACACGGUGGUGCGGAUAGCAGAGGCCGAAAUGCGGGCCUAUCAUCGAUUCUUGGGGAGCUGCACCAGCCUGGAGUACAGGGCAAAUGAAGGUAAUGCACUUCCAAUAAACAGCACCUCCCUGCUCUCCAAAGCUGGGCAUAUUCCUGAUGUCUGCUGUGCUGCAGUCUGCAAACCAUCAUAGAAUUUCGACAGCUGCCUGGUCUUUCCCUGCCAUCAACUAAGAGAGCCACAUGGGGUCUCCUCCUGGUCCUGGUGGGCAUAAAGAGAAUAAAUGUUCAGGGCUCGAAUGUGCUCUGCCAGGGCUGAGCUCUGGGGCCACGUGGGGCCACGUGCUGAGGUUCCUGUGGAGUGCUCAUGCUCCAAAGCCAUCGGGAACUUCAUGUGAGGGUGGGAGUGUUUCAUUUCUAAUGUGUAUCAUGCCAUGAUUGGGUCAAUAUUUGUCUAGAUUUAGCAAUUAUACACUUAAUAUUUGUGCAGUCUGCUUGUAUUCAACAAAAUUCUGUUAAUAUAAAAAUAAAAGAUAAAGAGCACACAUUAUGUAAACUAA